rnacentral:rRNA from 1 species
GAUGAACGCUAGCGACAGGCCUAACACAUGCAAGUCGAGCGGGAACCACCUUCGGGUGGUGAGAGCGGCGCACGGGUGAGUAACGCGUAUGUAACCUGCCUGCAACAGGGGGAUAGCUCCCGGAAACGGGAAUUAACACCGCAUAAGACCACGGUUUCGCAUGGAAACGGGGUAAAAUAUUCAUAGGUUGCAGAUGGGCAUGCGUGACAUUAGGUAGUUGGUAGGGUAACGGCCUACCAAGCCGACGAUGUCUAGGGGUUCUGAGAGGAAGGUCCCCCACACUGGUACUGAGACACGGACCAGACUCCUACGGGAGGCAGCAGUGAGGAAUAUUGGUCAAUGGACGCAAGUCUGAACCAGCCAUGUCGCGUGCAGGAAGACGGCCCUAUGGGUUGUAAACUGCUUUUGUACGGGAAGAAAGUUAGCUACGAGUAGCUAUUUGCCGGUACCGUACGAAUAAGGAUCGGCUAACUCCGUG